GUCUACCUACGGGGCGAAGCAGUGGGGAAUAUUGCACAAUGGGCGAAAGCCUGAUGCAGCAACGCCGCGUGAAGGAAGACGGUUUUCGGAUUGUAAACUUCUAUCAAUAGGGAAGAAAGAAAUGACGGUACCUAAAUAAGAAGCCCCGGCUAACUACGUGCCAGCAGCCGCGGUAAUACGUAGGGGGCAAGCGUUAUCCGGAAUUACUGGGCGUAAAGGGAGAGUAGGCAGCAAGGUAAGCGAUAUGUGAAAGCCUUAAGCUUAACUAAAGGAUUGCAUAACGAACUAUCUAGCUAGAGUACAGG
rnacentral:rRNA from 1 species